UAUGGGGCGGCGCGACGCUGCUUUGCCUCAAGUAGUCUAUGCUCCAGCAGGCAUGGGGAGACGUAGAUGGCGCCAUUGUCAGACAUUAGUCGAUCAGUUUUGGCUCCAGUUCACAAGGAACUACUUGCCAAAUCUCCAAACCCGGUACAAGUGGCAAAGGUCAUCAAAUAGCAUUGCUGUGGACUCCAUUGUCCUGAUCGUAGACCCAUCACUGCCAAGAGCUCAAUGGCCCAUCGGGCGAGUCAUCAAGACCAUCACUAGCCAGGACGGGUGUAUUAGAACGGCAGAAGUCAAGGUCAAAGACAGAGUCUACACACGACCAGUUGCUCGGCUUGUAGAACUUCCUGUCCUUCAGGAAGACACUUGAAGAAUUUCUGUCUUACACAUUUACAAGGCAAAUGUGGGGGCGGCUGUUAAGAAUUCUUCAAGUAGAGACGUUCAUACAGUUAGACCUUUAUUCUGAAACACCCGUUUAUUAUGAAAGUGCCAAGUUCAUUUCCUGUUUCCAGUGUGUGUUCAGCUUUGCUUGUCAUACUAGCAGCAGUACAGCAGUCACUGACGAUAAACUGCCAUGCAUCAAGGCUGCUUCGGUUCAUCGUUAAAUGCUUAAAUCUCUCUGAUGAGUCUGCGCUCUCUGACCGGAGCCCUGCAGUGGAGCAGGGAGAAGUACAUUGACUACAUAAUCUGAGACAAAUGAAGGGAGAUAGGACAACGGGAUCCAGAAAAGCUUUGCAUCCCAGCCUGCUGCGUAACGUGUGCGUGGGAAGCGAGCAGUCAGGGCGUGCUCCAUGCACCCGGUCACCUUGGAGAGAUCUGAACUGCACAAGAUUCCCAUGGACAAGCUCUGAGCUUUCACAUCUGAGAGAUCAAAAAUCAGAUAAAAGUGAUCUUAUAGAGCAUUUGUCUGUCAGUGUAGCUGAUUCAAAUGAACUGAACUUCUACUCACACUCAUCGAAGUAUGCAGCUCCAUAUGAGUCUUUAACAUCGUGGGGGAGGCGGGACCACAGUCUGCUCAGGUCAGCAUCAAUAAGAUCUAUGCGGGUGACGUUAGUUUUGAAGAAACCAGGCUCAAUAAUGCUCACUUUGAUACCAAAGUGCUGCAUGUCCCUCCUGGUCAAACGAAGCAGACAACGUGUCUCUUUAAAGCAAAUGAAAGACUUUUUACUGAGCAUUUUUUCAUUAGCACUAUACUGAGGCACAGUUCCGCAGGUACUUUAACUUGUGAGUAUAGGUGGGUAGUUUCCUUUUUUUUUUUUUUGGCACUUUAUGUUUUCACUUCACUGCAGUAGAUUUCAGUGGAAAAUACUACAUUUAAAAAUUUGCCUUAAAAGUAUGAUUUUUUUUUUUUUUAAAUUCAUAUUUUUUUAAAAACACUACGGCACUCGCACAAAUGGACCUACUCCAUCCUACCGAUCAUCAAGACACUCCAAACAACCAUAAACCCAUGAUACAGUUUGUUUCUCCAACUAUGCAUUGUGGAAAUGCCCCCCCCCCAUCAUUUUGUGUUUAUUCUUCUUUAUUUUGUGUCUCAUAUUGGUCAUUUCACGUUUCUUUGCAAGUAGCAACAACUGUAACUAUAAACCAUAUCUUUCUGCAGCAACAGGAAUAUUAUUUAAGGAUAUUUUCUGAUGAUACUUCUGUAUUUGGUCUUAGGCAGGAAUUUGAAGGCUUCUGGGGUCUUUCUUAAAGCUUAAAUGUUUUAACUGCUUCAUCUACCAUUUUAUACUACUCACCUGAUCUGCCCAUAAAACACAUGAAAAUACCACCCACUCAGAGCACAUAUAUGAUUUUGUUGCUCUAGUGAUGCCAAACCCAUCUUGCCCACCCCAGUGUUAACCCUUUACAUUUUUAUAAAUAGAGGCUUUUAAAAUUAUUAUUAUUUAAUUGGCACCUCUACAGUAUGCUUUUAACAACAUGUUUUUGUCCCACUACCUGAGGCUGUCAGAAAAGGCUUCCACUCCCCAUUUGGACAGGCAGUAUCCUCCACCAGUGAGAGACAGUCUGCCCAGAAUACUGGCUACAUUCACCACUCUGCCCCGGGCUUUCUUUAGGAGAGGCAGAAACUGGAGGGUUACUUCAAUCACUCCUAUGAGAUUCACAUCCAAAACCUUUGUGAAAUCCUCUAACUUCAUCCAUUCUGGUGGGCCGAUGGGUGUCGAUCUGCCAGCGUUAUUCACCAGACCCCACAGACCUGCAGGAUGUAGAAUAAUUAUCAACAGAAACAGCUCCUGAUCUUCAUCUCUUAAUUCUUUCUCUCCAUGUAAUCUUGACAGAUUAAACUGCUUACAGGCCAAGCAGAUGCUUCCCUGCAUCUGUAACACACUGAUACACACUGAGGUGCUACUGUAUGUACGACUUCAAUGCUCGUUUAUCUAUAUUUAACCCCAGAGAAGAGUUGUGCUGCGUGCUCCACGUAGGUUCGCCAAAUUUUGGUAUAAUAGGUUAUCCUUUUCUGUAGGCAUUUUUUAAAUACUAGGCAAUGCCACGAACCUUGUCUUUAUAUGUGCGAAUAUGCAUUUGAAUAUUGAACAAAAAUAUCUAGGUUUAUAUUUCUUGGUUGUUGGCACAGACUUAGAGCCCAUGCUAUCGUCAGAGCUCGGUCUUCAGUCUAGAUUUAUGUCUGAAGAAGGCUUCUCCCUCCUGUUUUUAAAAACAGGAUGUGUUACACGU